GAGCUGUCAUGUAGAGAUGUCAUGUAGAGAUGUCAUGUGGAGAUGUCAUAUAGAGAUGUCAUGACAUUUAAAAGCAUAGAGACGAUGUUUAUUAUCAAAGACACGCUCCUGAUUAUCAAUCCGGUUUCUGAAGAGAACCUAAGAGAAUUCUGGUGCCAGACUUCAGUGUGGGACAAUAGUGUGAUUCUGGGUCGAUAAUGAUCCUCCACCCUGAGUGAUGAGGCAUAUUUUACAAUAAAGAAAAGUGCUUUGAGUGCAGUGUUUUUUUUUUCCUCUGCUUUAAUGGUCAGCGCGGGAGACCGCCUGCACUGCCGACAGUCCUCCGUCUGUUUAUCUGAGGCUGUGAUAGAUGGGCUGUGGACAUUCCCUCCCCCGCGUGUAGCGACAAUCAGUCUCCCCAUCACUGCUGAUAACACAGCGUGCCAAAAACACAAACUCAAACAGUGGCAGCAGGUCCUCGCAACAAACUGGGUUAAUGAUUCAGGAGGCCUGCCUGUCAGCCUCUGGACCUCCACAGGUCCAGACUUGUGUUUUCCAUCCAUCACAAGAUUUUUUGGGCCCAUAAUUGCAGCUUUACAAUAAAGGAACAUUGUUAAAUCCUUAACACAGCGGCAACUUGGUUCAUACAGUUACUUAGAAAAAUGAUAGAAGUAAAAUACAAACUCUUACUGAUGCAAAUGCUUACAUACAGUUUGAGAAAUCAGGCUUAAACAAAUGGUUCUUAUGAAGCCUUUUAGGUUUAUUGAACACAUUUUGAACCAAAUUGGAAUUUAACCAGUUAUUUACAGGCGCUAAGCCUCAAAAUUAGAAGUUCUGGACGGAGGCAGAAUAUCUCCAAUCACAGGACGGCUGACUGCGAUCCGAGGAUCAUUCUGUCGGCAAAUGAAGUGGCAAACUAAUCUAAUGUUUGUCAGCUGCAAUUUCCUGAUCCAAUUUGUAACCUGAGUUUCUCGAAGGGGAACUUAGCGUUGCAUCGGCAGUUUAACAGCCAGCGGAUUCUCAUCUGGUGGAGGAGAAAACAAUGAAUGUCCACUUGAAGAAUGCAGGGAAGUCCAGAACUUUAACAUUGUUUGACUUUCAUAACUAGUGAUUCAUUAUUCCUUAUUUAAGACUACAUUACCUCUAAUUUGACCACCUGUGUUUUCUGUUUAAUUACUGUACCGAGUUGUUUUAUAUGAUUUCCCAGGACACACUUGUCUGGCACUUCUUCCACAGGGAUAGAAUGAAUAUGUUUAGUCUUUUAACCACGCAGCAUUUCUAUUCUUUUUGGCACUCGUUGAGCGAUUCAGACUUGUAAAGACAAACUAAUUACAUAAAGUGUAAACCAUGUCACAUGAUGCUACUCAGACAAUCAAAUAUGUGUUUUCUGAUUUGCAUCACGAAUGCAGUUAGAUU
ensembl:lncRNA